GACGAACGCUGGCGGCGUGCUUAACACAUGCAAGUCGAGCGGUAAGGCCCUUUCGGGGGUACACGAGCGGCGAACGGGUGAGUAACACGUGGGUGACCUGCCCUUAGCUCUGGGAUAAGCCUGGGAAACUGGGUCUAAUACCGGAUAUGACCUCAUGGCGCAUGUUGUGGGGUGGAAAGCCUUGUGCGGCUAGGGAUGGGCCCGCGGCCUAUCAGCUUGUUGGUGGGGUGANGGCCUACCAAGGCGACGACGGGUAGCUGGUCUGAGAGGAUGGCCAGCCACAUUGGGACUGAGAGACGGCCCAGACUCCUACGGGAGGCAGCAGUGGGGAAUCUUGCGCAAUGGCCGAAAGGCUGACGCAGCGACGCCGCGUGGGGAGGAAGGCCU
rnacentral:rRNA from 1 species